CAGUCGCCGCGGUAAGACAGAGGUCCCGAGCGUUGUUCGGAUUCAUUGGGCGUAAAGGGUGUGUAGGAGGCCAGGUAAGUCAGGUGUGAAAUCUCAGAGCUUAACUCUGAAACUGCGCUUGAUACUGCUUGGCUAGAGGAUCGGAGGGGGUAACGGAAUUUAUGGUGUAGCGGUGAAAUGCGUAGAUAUCGGAAGGAACACCAGUGGCGAAGGCGGCUACCUGGAUUGACACUGACACUGAGGCGCGAGAGCGUGGGGAGCAAACAGGAUUAGAUACCCGGGUAGUCCCUGUCUCUUAUAC
rnacentral:rRNA from 1 species